CCUCGUCCACCUGCUGAGGACAGAUGAAGUGGAUAUGCGUAUCGAAGCCACCGGCAGUCACGAUCUUGUUCUCACCAGCGAUAACGUCUGUAGAGGAACCAACAAUCAAACCAGGAUGGACACCUUCCAUUGCAUCUGGGUUUCCCGCCUUUCCGAUACCCACGAUGUUGCCGUCCUUGAUUCCGAUAUCAGCCUUGUAGAUUCCAGACCAGUCGACAAUGACGGCGUUAGUUAUGACGGUGUCUGGACAUUCGACCGCAGAUCGACCCGUUGCCUGGCCCAUUCCUUCUCGCAGA
rnacentral:sRNA from 1 species